rnacentral:rRNA from 1 species
UACGGAGGGUGCAAGCGUUGUCCGGAAUCACUGGGCGUAAAGGGCGCGUAGGCGGCUCAUGAAGGCUGUGGUGAAAGUCCGGGGCUCAACCUCGGAUCGGCCGUGGCGACUCGUGGGCUGGAGCACUGUAGAGGCGGGUGGAAUUCCGGGUGUAGCGGUGGAAUGCGUAGAGAGUCCGGAAGAACACCAGUGGCGAAGGCGGCCCGCUGGGCAGUGGCUGACGCUGAGGCGCGACAGCGUGGGGAGCAAACGAGG